GACGAACGCUGGCGGCGUGCCUAAUACAUGCAAGUAGGACGCAGUUGCGAACGGGUGAGUAACGCGUAGGUAACUACCUAUUAGAGGGGGAUAACUAUUGGAAACGAUAGCUAAUACCGCAUACUAGUAGAUGGACCUGCGUUGUAUUAGCUAGUAGGUAGGGUAAUGGCCUACCUAGGCAACGAUACAUUGCCGACCCGAGAAGGUGAUCGGCCCAAAUGGGACGGGGACACGGCCCAGACUCCCACGGGAGGGAGCAGGAGGGAAUCUUCGGCAAUGGGGGGAAACCUGAACGAGGAACGCCGCGGGAUUGAAGAAGGUUUUCGGAUCGUAAAGCUCUGUUGUGAAGGAAGCGGUACUUAACCAGAAAGGGACGGCUAACUACGUGCCAGCAGCCGCGGUAAUAC
rnacentral:rRNA from 1 species